rnacentral:rRNA from 5 species
CCUGGCGGCUUUAGCGCGGUGGUCCCACCUGACCCCAUGCCGAACUCAGAAGUGAAACGCCGUAGCGCCGAUGGUAGUGUGGGGUCUCCCCA